rnacentral:lncRNA from 1 species
AUGGCCCCAGCCUGGGGGCCCUGGAGGACUCUCUACCCACCUGUCUUGGGCCCCAGUCUGUACCUGAGUGCUUUCUCCCCCACUCUAAGGGGCUCUCGGCAUGAGGUCACCUUGGCCUUUCCCUGCCUUCCAGCUCCGAGAGCACUCGCUCCUAUCGGCGGGGUGGACUGGAGCCUGGAAGACUGUCCCUCAGCCAGGCAGCGUCUGCCCACAAGGAACAUGCUGGUUGGCUUCACUGAGGAGAGGGCUCCAGGACAGGGGUUCUCCUGGAAGAUCUGUGCAGCCUUUGCGAGGCUAGCUCCUUGCAUGCCUGAACUCGCCCCAUGUUGGACCCCAAUGUUCAGAGCUAGGACUUGAGCCCGCAAGACUGGGGAGCUGAGGUGUCCGUUCCCUUGGGUCUUGCUCUGUCUGUCCCUUGUGCCUCUGUGGCUGGCCUUCCUCCCUGCCGUGGGCCUGUGCCCCCUCCAAGGAUACGGGCCCCUUCCAUGUUAGGGCUAAUGGCAAUUCCUUCCCCUCUGUCCCAUCACCGCCCAUGGAGCCCUAUGGCUGGGUCUGAGAACUCAUGAGCUAGCUUUAGCUGCAGAACCCUCAAUCUCUCACCAGACCAGAAUGUUUCUUCCAUCAGCCUGGGGGCUCCCUAAGAGUAGGACCAGCCCACCUCCAUCUUCCAGACCAGAGAUUCUGCCAGCCAAGGGGCUGUCUUCUCGGACAUUCACUGGUCUAGUAUUCCUUUACUGAGUUCCUCUCUAUGUCCAGAUGCCACAUGAGUAAGACAAGGGUCUCGCAGAUGUGGUCCCUUGCUAGGACGCUGAUCCCAAAGGCUGGGCUUGGGAAUGGGCAGGGGUAGAUUCCAGGGGAUGGUCCUGGGCCCAUCAGCUGCCUUACCCCGAUAGGACACUGCAUUGUCUACAGCUCGCAUCCAUUCUGGUUGGCCAGCGCUCAUGCGGUACUGGCUGUUAAGUAAAUACUCACUAGCACUCCUUUCGAGGGAUAGCACAGCCCUCCCGGGGACCUGCUCUAUUCCCCAGCCAGGAAGUAGACUAGGAGUAACCCCCGUUUGCCUACUCUCCUUGAUGUAACAGGAAAGAAAGGUCUGGGAUGAUUGACCUUCCCUUCUCCUUUUUCUUUGGUCAACUCAGGAGCCUUCCAGUCUUGGGGGUGGAAAGAGCUAAGAAAGGAGGAAGGGGAAUAAUAGGAACGGGAAGGCAGGGGCUAAAGGUUCUGCUUCCCAGUCCCAGAAGUGCCACCGUGACUUUCAGCCCCAUAUUAGAGAACAGGUACAGCUAAGCCAUCAUCAAUCUCUAACACAGUUUUAUGGGCACCGGGCGCUGGGCCCUGGCAGGGAUGGACCAGGCCAGACAGGAGAGGCCGGAGGGUGCCAAUGGCCAACGAAGCAGUCUGGCUCGGGAGGCUGGGCUGUUUACCCUGGAGGCCUGACUGGUCUGGGAUCCUACAGGAACGGGGUUGUCUUCUGGGCCUCCAGCGUCUGGUUUUAUUCAUCUCAGACUUGUUAUCUCACUCAUCUCUAAUAAAAGAUUUUUUUGGAUAAGAUUCCA